rnacentral:lncRNA from 1 species
ACAAACACCAGGCAUAAGCUGCUAUGCAGCUCGUGGUCCCAGGGUCCUUUCCACACACUGACGAUGUAUGGCCUGCCUCUCGAUGGCCUGAGUACAGAUCCUCUCGCCAUCAGACAGGAGAAAAGGUACAGAGACUCAGACCAUCUGCUCCAUCAUGGCACUGAGCACAGAUGUGGCACCCUGUGGCUGCUCUGAGGAGAAUAGAAAUGCCUGUCUGUGAGCUCUCCAUGAAAGCCUGUGCCAGCGUGGCUCCUAGCACAGUAUGGCAGCACUCUUGGGCAGUGCCAAGGGGACAGUUCAGCCGCUCUGGAAGAUUAGUGGAGUUACAUCUGCUUCACUAAAAUAAAACUAUUGGGACCAAGAGGGGCCGUAGCUGAGCACCUCAUCCCAGCUGCCAACUGAUUGUAGCUGCCACCCCAUGAGCACGGCUGAUGCUAACUCCAACCCCAAUGACCAACCAGGUGUAAUUCAGUCUGUCAGCCCAACUUGCAUAGGCCUAGAGGGCAGAGGGAUUGGCACUUAGUGUCUUCAUUGCAGGUGGCACACUCUGCUCUGUUCAGGGAGCUGAAGACAGUGGAUGACUGCAGAAGCUCAAGGACACACUAUCAUUGCUACAGAGACUCAAAGCCUAAGCAACCAAGACAGACUGCCCAGAUCCUGCUCCUCCCAAAUGGAGAAGUACCUGUCGUCAGUUAAAGGAGAAAUAUUCAUGACUGUGCUGGGUUCUGAACCAAUGAGCUUCAGAGGAGGGUAACAGUGCUGGUAAGGACGUGGUGGCCAAGGCAGUGACCAGAUCCCUCUGCCAUGUCCCUGGGACCUUGCACAUAACCUCUGCUCAAGGAGGCUCCCAAGGGCACUGCAAGAAGGCCUGGAGUCAAGAGUGCUGUUCAGUGUAAAGAUUUGACUAUCCCACUGUUACCUGGGGCAAUUUUUUAAACUGGAAAGACAACAGUUUGAGAUGUUAAGGAACACAUGCCUAGUUGAAGCGUGCUCCUGCCAAGACCUUUGGUUCUCUACCUUGGAGAGUACCAGCCCGCUCCUUCCAGGUACUACCCCACACUGACUUCCAAAUGUGGGAGAGAGACAUCCCACGUCUCUUCACCAGAAUCAAGCAUGAAAGCCCCACAGCACUGCAUCUGGGAGUCUGCCAGGCCUGUCUAUAAUUGUGCUGGUCAGCCAGGUGCCAGGUGCAGGUGGCAGAGAAAACCCAAUUGCCCCAUCGACUGUUUGGUUUUUUGGUUUUCUUUAUUGGUGGUGGUGGUGGUGGGUUUUUGUUUUGCUUUGUUUUGUUUUGUUGAUUUGUUUUGUUUUGUUUUUUGAGACAGGGUUUCUCUUGGUAGCUCUGUUAUUCUGGAACUCACUCUGUAGAUCAGGUUAGCCUAAACUCACAGAGAUCUACCUGUCUCUGCCUCUCAAGUGCUAGGAUUAAAGGUGUGCACCAUCAUUACCAGGCACCUCGAGGCUGUUAUAAAAGGAGCUGACACUGUGGGCAUCACCAGAAGGUUCUAAUGGAGUGGGGUCAUCUCUUGGCAUACUUCACUGGCCCUGAAGCAGGAUUAAGAGAAAGGAUGAAUCUCUCCCCUCUCCUAGGCCUGAACCACACCUAAUUCCAGGUCACCAGAUACCCUGCUCUAAAUUCAGGGUGCUAGUAGCUGUCCCCAAAGCCCAAGUGUUUCUACUUCCUACUUUAGUCAAACCGAAGAACGAAAGCAGCUGCCUAAUGUUUGCUGUGCUGCGGGGAUCUGGUCAGCAAGCUCUAUUAUCUUAUGAACUCCAUUAUUGUCUCCACUUGAAAGGAAAGGAAACUGAGGCUCAAGAGGUCAAACAGGUUGCCCAAGACCAUCCAGAAGUUGGUAGGAUGGGCUGGAAGUCAAAGCAUUUGAAUCCAGGGUUCAAACUCUUGUUCUCUAGCAUGUCAAAGAGCAUGAAAUAACACCACCAGGGGGACUUUCUAUUCAGCCUUCAUCAAGUGGUACAGAGCACGGGGACCAGUAUGGAAAGUGGCUAUAAGGACACCCAGAGCCAAGGUCCCAGGAAUGAGGCAAAGGACAGAGCAAGCAAGGCAUGCAGGAGGCAGAGGCCCUGAGGCACAGACCAAACUCAGGUCCAAACAGUUGAGGAAAGAGUUAAAAACAACUGAGGCAGGAGUGGGGUGUCGAGCAACUCCUUAUCAGCUCUGGGAUUUAGAACUGUUUGCAGAAAAGACAAGGAAGCCAAAGGGGCAUUUUCUCUGCCCAUCCCUCCUAUCUGAAGACUUUCUGUAGGAUGUAUAACUCCAAUUAAACCUGAGGCAGGAGAAUCAUCUAUGUAGACUCCAGUGCCCCCUCU